rnacentral:rRNA from 1 species
UACGUGAGGUGCAAGCGUUAAUCGGAAUUACUGGGCGUAAAGGCGUGCGCAGGCGGUUUUGUAAGGUCUGUCGUGAAAGCCCCGGGCUCAACCUGGGAAUUGCGAUGGAGACUGCAAGGCUUGGAAUCUGGCAGAGGGGGUAGAAUUCCACGUGUAGCAGUGAAAUGCGUAGAGAUGUGGAGGAACACCGAUGGCGAAGGCAGCCCCCUGGGUCAAGAUUGACGCUCAUGCACGAAAGCGUGGGGAGCAAACAGG